GGGUAGUUGGCUGAGUGGUUUAAGCGGCGGACUGUUAAUCUGUUUUACGUAGGUUCGAAUCCUGCACUGGCUC
rnacentral:tRNA from 1 species